rnacentral:rRNA from 1 species
GCUGGCGGCGCGCUUAACACAUGCAAGUCGAACGAGAAAGGGGAGCAAUCCCUGAGUACAGUGGCGUACGGGUGAGUAACACGUGGGUAAUCUACCUUUUGGUGGGGAAUAACCCUGGGAAACCGGGGCUAAUACCGCAUAAGCCUGGAAAGGGAAAGGAGCAAUUCGCCGAAAGAGGAGCCCGCGGCUGAUUAGCUAGUUGGUGAGGUAAAGGCUCACCAAGGCAAUGAUCGGUAGCCGGCCUGAGAGGGCACACGGCCACACUGGCACUGAAACACGGGCCAGACUCCUACGGGAGGCAGCAGUGGGGAAUCUUGCACAAUGGGGGCAACCCUGAUGCAGCGACGCCGCGUGAGCGAUGAAGCCCUUCGGGGUGUAAAGCUCUUUCGGCAGGGACGAUAAUGACGGUACCUGAAGAAGAAGCUGCGGCUAACUACGUGCCAGCAGCCGCGGUAAUACGUAGGCAGCGAGCGUUGUUCGGAGUUACUGGGCGUAAAGAGUGCGUAGGCGGUUUUCUAAGUUUGGUGUGAAAUCUCCCGGCUUAACUGGGAGGGUGCG